rnacentral:rRNA from 1 species
GACGAACGCUGGCGGCGUGCUUAACACAUGCAAGUCGAACGAUGAAGCCCAGCUUGCUCGGUGGAUUAGUGGCUAACGGGUGAGUAAUACGUGAGUAACCUACCUUUAACUCUGGGAUAAGCCUGGGAAACUGGGUCUAAUACCGGAUACGUCCAAUCUCCGCAUGGGGUGUUGGUGGUAAGCGUUGUGUAGUGGUUAUAUAUGGGCUCACGGCCUAUCAGCUUGUUGGUGAGGUAACGGCUCACCAAGGCGACGACGGGUAGCCGGCCUGAGAGGGUGACCGGCCACACUGGGACUGAGAAACGGCCCAGACGCCUACGGGAGGCAGCAGUGGGGAAUAUUGCAAAAUGGGCGGAAGCCUGAUGCAGCGACGCCGCGUGAGGGAUGACGGCCUUCGGGUUGUAAACCUCUGUUAGCAGGGAAGAAGAGAAAGUGACGGUACCUGCAGAGAAAGCGCCGGCUAACUACGUG